GGAGGUUGGGAUUUUAUUCUGUGUCAGCUUUGGAAGGUUGCCAUGGAAACUGAUGCCAUUCAUGAUGUAGCAGGAUCAGAGCCACCCAAGAAUCAGGACAUUUUAGGAACCCCAAGAACAUAAAGUAGAACCAGAAACUGCAGGGAGCAUUGACCUCACGUCAGUCAGGCACAGCCUUAGUAGGUUAACUGGUUUAAUCUUCACAAGAGCCGAAUGGGGCAGGCAUUGCUAUUGGCAGCAGAAUAUAAAGAGCACAGAGUCAGUCCAGUGCCUUCACCAACAGAAACCAUGUCACUUUUCAGGUUCCCUGCUCCCAUUUUUUUUCUUUCCAUCUGGUUUUGGGGUUUUUUUGUUUUGUUUGUUGUUGUUAUUUUGCUUUUUUUUUUUUUAAAAGCGGUACAUAUAUACAUUUCUAUCUUUCAGGAAGUAAGCCUAGAAGAAUAUCAGUUCAGAUCACUGUGACAGAACAACAAAUGGUCAAAGUGGAAUUAUUGCUUUUCCAAAAUCUUGCUACUCCUCCAUCAACUACAGGGUCUACUACUUUCCUUCGGCUUGAAUCUGGGCAGGACUUAGUAACUGAACUGACACACAUCGCAAGCAACUUUAAAGCAAAGGGGACCUGGCUUUUGCCUGGCUUACUAAUUAUCUUGGGACUUGGUUCUUAGGAUAUGUGAUCUUCUGGCCACCAUGUUGUAGGGGAAACUAUGUGGUCCUGGUUCUAAGUGACAGCCCACCGGUUUGUAAAUGAGGCUCUGUGAGGCUGACCCACCUGUUUGCCUCGCUACCAUGAGGCUAUAUUCUGCUCCAUCAUAGGUAUUCUGUUAGCAUCAGAAGGGGGCUGGCAAUGAUGCAAAUGAUAAAUUCGUCGUUUCAGUUGGCUUUGCUCAUCAGAAUUGCGGUACUGUGUUUUUUUACCUCUUAUGUGAAUGUGUGUGCAUAAGUGUCACUUGCAGCUAUCCGCAAACUAAGAAUAAACCUUGCCUUUACGUCCUUCAGAAUAGGCAAUGCUUAUCUCUAUACGUAGAAUCUAUAAGAACCCAGAGAUAAUGGAAGUGACUGAAAAAUCAGAAUAUGGGAGUUAUUUACAUUACAAAACAUGGAAAAAUUGGUCUAAAAUGGUAGUUAACUUUAAUUAUUUAAUUGUAUUUUGCAUUAGCUAGACUAUUAAUUAAUUUAUCUUGCUGCUUAACAACCUACCCCAAACUCUGGAGAGAUGGCUCACCAAUUAAGAUCACUGUCUGACUAUUCUUCCAGAAGACUGAAGUUCAAUUUCCAAUACCCACAUUGCAGCUAACAACCAUCUUUAACUCCACUCCUGGGCAUCUGGUGCUCCCUUCUGGGCACUGUACACACAUGGUACAUGGUCAUACAUGCAGGCAAAAUACAAAUAAAAAUCCCCUACUCCUACACUUAGGAAAGAUUGAAUAUCUCUUCUAGAAAUGCUUAGAAUCCGCAGUUUAGAAUCAUUAAUGUUUCAGACUUUAGAGUUCUGUUUUGGUUUUGGUUUUGGUUUUGGUUUUGGGUUUUUUCUUCAUAUUUUCAAAUACUUGUAUUGGUUUUACUGGUUGGGCUCCCUAACAUGAAAGUUGAAGCACUCCAAAAAUGCUUUGAAUUUUCACAGUAGGGAUGUUGAGUUUGUAGCUUAGUCAUCUUAGCACAUAAUUCUGUAGGCUGACCGUUUGAGCUGGGACCAGCUGGUGGACUUCGUGUGGUCCUGCUGCAUUUUUGCAUUGUUAUCCUCCGCCAGGCGUCUGGGGGAAGAUGGCAUCAACGGGGUGGCUGCCCUUGGUUCUGCGUGUCUCCAUUCUCCAGUCUGAGCUUAUGGACGGCUUGACGGAGUGUAGAGAGUAGGGCUUGAAAAUAAGAGUACGGCUUUCCCACAUCCUGCUGGGCAAAGCAAACAGCAGGACAGGCCAGAUUCAAGAGGUCAGAAAGGUUCAGCCCUUGACAGGAUGGGGAGCUCCUAUGCAACCUAGCAAAGGGAGUCUGCGAGGACACAAGGUUGUAAAUAAGAGCACAUCCUCGAAAUCUGCAGUACCACAGAAAAUGUCAAUAAUCUACUGAGGGAACUAGCAAUGUUACAAAGAGAGAUGCUGGAGAGGAUGCUGUUUGUGUGGUUUAUAACACAUGACAAAAAUCUAAUGGGAUGCUGAAAUGGUCCUAGAGUAGAAAAGCCAUACACAGUCCCUCUUAUCCAUCACACUGUCUUAAAAAGCAGAAUUAAGAUGCUUAGCAGAGCACAGUUGGGCGACAGGUUCCCCCCUGUGUUCUUUUACCUUCUUAUUGAUGGGGAUGGGAAUACUGACAUCAAUGAGGGUUUGGCAGGCAGAAGGGAAAUUAAAAAAAAAAAUGUAAGAAAGUGAUUUCAUCUGUCACUCAACAACAGACCCCACCCCCUUUAAUUUGACAUGCCUGUACUGGCAUCAGUUCUGCACGCUUCUUGACAUUGCAUCUUCAAGCACUGUGGUUUUAUGUGUUGGAAGAGCAAAGAAUAAAGAGUGGGGAAGUGCCAGCCGUCUGUACCCUGGCUCCUUCUUUCAUAGUUGAAGUUAAGGACGGCUUCAGCUUGGCCUGGUUACUUGGCCUGGUAACACCCCACCCAACUCUAUCUGUUGUUAUGUUUGUAGCCUUAUAAGGGUGGAGUGAUAUCAGCCUUACAUGUCUUUGGGUCUGUAUCUGUGGUUUUGACCAGCUGUAGUUAUAAAAUGGAAAAGACAAAAAAAGUAAAACAAAGCAAAGCAAAAAAACUCAGGCUAACUGACUGGAUUUUCAACCAAGAUCUAACUAUCUAUUACGUCCAAGGAAGUCAUAUGCAAAGACAUUCCUAAACUUGGUGUCACCGGUUGGAAAUCAGCUUACCGUGAAAAUGGGUGCUGAGGAUGACAGUGUAGUGAUUCUGCAUCUGAUAAAGAAGAAUCCAAUCCAAAAUGAGUCAGGAGAGAUAAAGAGAAGCAGCUACCUACUAAUAAAGGGAACAAUUCAUCAAGAUGUAUCUACUGUAAAUAUUUUUGUACUAAGUCAUGGUCCUAGUUCAUAAAGCAGGUACUACAAGACAUAAGAAACCACAAUACAAUAAUAGUGAGAGACUUUAAUACCCAACUCUUAUAUCUACAUGGGGCUUCUACAGUUAGAAAAAUAUCAGCAAAAAAACUUCAGAGUUAAAUUAUACUAUAGACCAACUGGAUUUAACAGAUAUCUACAGAAAACAUGCCAUCCAACAGAUAGGGAAUACACAUUCCCAAAGGAUACUAAAGAGUUCCUAGAAUUGAAGGAAUGAGAUGAGAAUACACCCUACCAGACCCUAGGGUGCAGCCAAGGCAGGCCUAAUAGAAAGGGUUACAACUGAAAAAACCAGAUGUAAUUUAUUAUACACCUUGAGGUUCUUACC
rnacentral:lncRNA from 1 species